UUGGAAUGUGGUAUGUUAUUGCUACAAAGAGUCUGUUUUUUCAGUCUUAAGGUCUCUGAGUCAAUGUUAAUGUUGGUCAGUCACGUCUAAACUCCAAAGGGAAGACAGUAGAAGGAGAGACACUCAAACUGGGAUUCUGGUCAUGGCCAGGUGACUGCCAUGAGGACAGAGGCAUCUGGCGUUAGUUCCUGGAUGAAGCUCUGAAGUCAAGUGGAUCCUAUACAAACCAGAAAGACAAAGGAAUAUGAGGAGACCUCAUCAGGAUGGAAAUCACAAUUUUAAGGCAGAUACAUGUUUUUGGAAGAUCAACCUUAUGCAAUAUUGAGUUCAUGAAAAUGAGGAGGUCUAAAAGUAGGGUGACCAACCAUCCUGGUUUGACAAAGACUGAUAGAUAUUUCCUGGGGUGCAGGACCUUCAGUGCUAAGACUGGGGAAGUUUCAGAAAAUGCACUGAUAGUGGAAAUCUAAAGUAUACUCAGAAAUAUGUUGAUCGUCUUAUCUAAAAGAUGGUGACAGAUUGUGGUAGCUAGUCUCCAAAGACGGUUCCCCAAUAAAUUAUACCUUCCUGAAUCUGUGACUUUGUGUAAUCCUAUCCCCUUGAAUCUGGGUUGACCUGUAGCUUUUAUUUUUUUUGAGAUAGGGUCUCAGUCUGUCACCCAGACUGGAGUGCAGUGGCAUGAUCAUGGCUUACUGAAACCUCAACUUCCCUGGGCUCAGGAGAUUCUCCCACCGCAGCCUCCCAAGUAGCUGAGACCACAGAGGUGUGCCAACAUGCCCAGCUAAUUUUUGUAUUCUUUUGUAGAGACGGGGUUUCACCAUGUUGCCCGGGCUGGUCUCGAACUCCUGGGCUCAAGCGAUCCACCCUUCUUGGCCUCCCAAAGUGUUGGCGUUACAGGUGUGUGCUACCAUGCCCCACCGUGUGGCUUAUUUUUGACCAACAGAAUAUGACGGAAGCCAUCUUGGUGUGAAAUCUCAGACUAGGUCAUUAGAAACCUUACAGCUUCCACCUGGGUAUCUUGGCAUAUUUACUCUGAGGGAAGCCAGCUGCCAUCUAAGUUCAACUACUUUAAAAUCACCAAGCUCAAACUAAGCAUAUGGGGAGCCUGUGUGCAAAGAGCGAGAUGCCUGUGCAGCCGCCAGCUGUCCCAGCUGUCCCAGCUGAAGCACCAGAUGUAUUAGUAAAGAAGCCAUGUGGGACGUCCAGCCUUCAGAAGACGGCAGCCACGCGAGAGACUCCGAGUGCAAAUCACCCAGCUGAAUCCAGUCAGUCCACACAAUUAUGAUAAAAAAUAGUGGAAUAUCUGUAAUCCCAGCACUUUGGGAGGCCGAGGCGGGUGGAUCACGAGGUCAGGAGAUCGAGAUCAUCCUGGCUAACACGGUGAAACCCCGUCUCUACUAAAAAUACAAAAAAUUAGCCGGGUGUGGUGGCGGGCACCUGUAGUCCCAGCUACUCGGGAGGCUGAGGCAGGAGAAUGGCGUGAACCCAGGAGGCAGAGCUUGCAGUGAGCUGAGAUUGCACCACUGCACUGCAGCGUGGGAAACGGAGUGAGACUCCAUCUCAAAAAAAAAAAAGUGGAAUAUUAUUUUAAGCCACUAAUUUUUUCCUUAAAAAAGCUGUGGUAAGCUCAUGCUGAAGGCCUAUUUCCUAACCUACACUGGAGACUUCUUCCUUACUCCUGUGCCUAGGGGAAUGUGCCCAAGCUCUGGGCAGAGUGCCCCGUGCUCAUGCAGGUAGACGUUCCCGCUUCCCACUGCAAAGCCCACUAAGCAGCACGAUGUCCUGCUCUUUUAGUUAUCCAGGCACCAGAAGCCCAAAGGGGCAGCAGAAAAAUACUGACAAUAGAGGUAAGUCCGUUCUGGGUAAUUCAGUUCAUAAAGCUCGCUUUGGAGGAUUUCAUUUCUCCAUGUUAAAUACAAUAUGUUUUUCUUUUGAGACACCUCUUUUCGGCAGGAAAAUCCUGCCAUCAUCAUUUCCCAUUUGAGUUCCGUGAGCUUCUACCUAGAGGCAAAAUGGAAAUGGGAAUUUUAUAAUGAAAGAAGCAGACGGGGAGAGGAAUCUGCCGUCUUCUUAACAAGCCAGUAAGAGGCACUGAAAAUCUCAGAGAGCUGCCAAUGACAAGCAUGCUCAUUCUCAGCGCAGCUGCUCUUUUACAAAUCGUGGUAACAUAAACAAUGUAAAAUCACCAUUAACCGUUUCCAGAACAUUUUCAUCUUCCCAAACUGAAACUCUGUACCUUUUAAACAAUAACUGCCCUUUCCUCUCUCCCCGAGUCCCUGGCCACCCCAGUCUACUUUCUAUCUCUGUGAGUUUGAUUCUCUUUGGUACCCUAUAAAAUGGAAUCAUAGAGUAUUUGUCCUUUUGUGCCUGGCUUACUUCACUUAGCAUAGUGUCCUCAAGGUCCAUCCAUGUUGUAGCACGUGGCGGGACUUCCUUCCUUGUUAAGGCUGAAUCAUAUUUCAUUGUAUGGAUGGACUACAUUUUGGUUAUCCACUCAUCUAUGGUUGGACAUUGGGUUGCUUCUGCCUAUUGGCUGUUGUGAAUAAUGCUGCUGGGAGGAUGAAAUGUGCAAAUAUCUCUUCAAGACCCUGCUUUCAAUUCAAGCCACUGAAUGUUGAGGUGGUUUGUUACAUAGCAAUUGGCAACCGGAUGUUGAGUCACGAUUACAGCAUGCCACCAACAUGGUACAAGGAUGAUGAUCACUGAAGGAGAGAAGUGUGUUGUCCAUGUGAGUGCAUGAGGUCCAGCUGGAGAGAUUAUUACCUGACUUAGUGUCACUAGGAUCUCUGCUUUGGAGUGGAAGCUCUCACUUUCCUGCGUGCCCAGGAGAAAGCAUAAGGCAGGCAGGCUGUAGAGUAGCAGCCAUUUAAAAAUUGCACUCAUAACUGUGUAACAACAAAAGAAAAGAUUAUUCUGGAUUUGCAUUCAGAUUGGGCAGACUGCUAGUGUUUCUUCCACCAGGAUGGUCUGAGAGCCAAGCUUGGAAAAUCAGAAGCGAUUGGGUCAUCCAGUGCAGGACAGUUUAGCACCAUGAAUGGCUAAUUAAGCUUGGAUUCCAUCACAAACUAGAGGGGAUACAUUUUCUUCUGUUGAAAUUAAUCAGGGCCGAGGAAGGAAAAAAAGAAACCAUGGCCGCCUUUUUGAAACAAAUCCAACAAACACGUCAGAGGGAAGCUCCACGCUGCACAUGGUGAUCUGGAAGUAAAGCAGGUGAGCCCUGCCCUCCUGAAGCUGGACCCUGG
rnacentral:lncRNA from 1 species